rnacentral:ncRNA from 1 species
AUAGGGUAAACCGGCUGAAAAGCCGGGACACAAAGCCAAAUGGGUCUAAUGCCGCAAUGCGGCGAUGACAGCCGGUUGCU